rnacentral:rRNA from 1 species
CCUACGGGAGGCAGCAGUGGGGAAUAUUGGACAAUGGGGGGAACCCUGAUCCAGCCAUGCCGCGUGUGUGAAGAAGGCCCUCGGGUUGUAAAGCACUUUCAGUGAGGAAGAACGCCUGGUGGUUAAUACCCAUCAGGAAAGACAUCACUCACAGAAGACGCACCGGCUAACUCCGUGCCAGCAGCCGCGGUAAUACGGAGGGUGCGAGCGUUAAUCGGAAUUACUGGGCGUAAAGCGCGCGUAGGUGGCUUGAUAAGCCGGUUGUGAAAGCCCCGGGCUCAACCUGGGAACGGCAUCCGGAACUGUCAAGCUAGAGUGCAGGAGAGGAAGGUAGAAUUCCCGGUGUAGCGGUGAAAUGCGUAGAGAUCGGGAGGAAUACCAGUGGCGAAGGCGGCCUUCUGGACUGACACUGACACUGAGGUGCGAAAGCGUGGGUAGCAAACAGGAUUAGAUACCCUGGUAGUC